rnacentral:rRNA from 1 species
GGGUUGUGAGGUUAAGCGACUAAGCGUACACGGUGGAUGCCCUGGCAGUCAGAGGCGAUGAAGGACGUGCUAAUCUGCGAAAAGCGUCGGUAAGGUGAUAUGAACCGUUAUAACCGGCGAUGUCCGAAUGGGGAAACCCAGUGCAAUUCGUUGCACUAUCGUUAACUGAAUACAUAGGUUAACGAGGCGAACCGGGGGAACUGAAACAUCUAAGUACCCCGAGGAAAAGAAAUCAACCGAGAUUCCCCCAGUAGCGGCGAGCGAACGGGGAGCAGCCCAGAGUCUGAAUCAGCUUGUGUGUUAGUGGAACGGUCUGGAAAGUCCGACGGUACAGGGUGAUAGUCCCGUACACCAAAAUGCACAGGCUGUGAACUCGAAGAGUAGGGCGGGACACGUGGUAUCCUGUCUGAAUAUGGGGGGACCAUCCUCCAAGGCUAAAUACUCCUGACUGACCGAUAGUGAACCAGUACCGUGAGGGAAAGGCGAAAAGAACCCCGGCGAGGGGAGUGAAAAAGAACCUGAAACCGUGUACGUACAAGCAGUGGGAGCACCUUCGGGUGUGACUGCGUACCUUUUGUAUAAUGGGUCAGCGACUUAUAUUCUGUAGCAAGGUUAACCGUAUAGGGGAGCCGCAGGGAAACCGAGUCUUAACUGGGCGUUAAGUUGCAGGGUAUAGACCCGAAACCCGGUGAUCUAGCCAUGGGCAGGUUGAAGGUUGGGUAACACUAACUGGAGGACCGAACCGACUAAUGUUGAAAAAUUAGCGGAUGACUUGUGGCUGGGGGUGAAAGGCCAAUCAAACCGGGAGAUAGCUGGUUCUCCCCGAAAGCUAUUUAGGUAGCGCCUCGUGAAUUCAUCUUCGGGGGUAGAGCACUGUUUCGGCUAGGGGGUCAUCCCGACUUACCAACCCGAUGCAAACUACGAAUACCGAAGAAUGUUAUCACGGGAGACACACGGCGGGUGCUAACGUCCGUCGUGAAGAGGGAAACAACCCAGACCGCCAGCUAAGGUCCCAAAGUCAUGGUUAAGUGGGAAACGAUGUGGGAAGGCACAGACAGCCAGGAUGUUGGCUUAGAAGCAGCCAUCAUUUAAAGAAAGCGUAAUAGCUCACUGGUCGAGUCGGCCUGCGCGGAAGAUGUAACGGGGCUAAACCAUGCACCGAAGCUGCGGCAGCGACACUAUGUGUUGUUGGGUAGGGGAGCGUUCUGUAAGCCUGCGAAGGUGACCUGUGAGGGUUGCUGGAGGUAUCAGAAGUGCGAAUGCUGACAUAAGUAACGAUAAAGCGGGUGAAAAGCCCGCUCGCCGGAAGACCAAGGGUUCCUGUCCAACGUUAAUCGGGGCAGGGUGAGUCGACCCCUAAGGCGAGGCCGAAAGGCGUAGUCGAUGGGAAACAGGUUAAUAUUCCUGUACUUGGUGUUACUGCGAAGGGGGGACGGAGAAGGCUAUGUUAGCCGGGCGACGGUUGUCCCGGUUUAAGCAUGUAGGCUGGUUGUCCAGGCAAAUCCGGAUAAUCAAGGCUGAGGUGUGAUGACGAGGCACUACGGUGCUGAAGUAACAAAUGCCCUGCUUCCAGGAAAAGCCUCUAAGCAUCAGGUAACAUCAAAUCGUACCCCAAACCGACACAGGUGGUCAGGUAGAGAAUACCAAGGCGCUUGAGAGAACUCGGGUGAAGGAACUAGGCAAAAUGGUGCCGUAACUUCGGGAGAAGGCACGCUGGUGUGUAGGUGAAGUCCCUGCGGAUGGAGCUGAGACCAGUCGAAGAUACCAGCUGGCUGCAACUGUUUAUUAAAAACACAGCACUGUGCAAACACGAAAGUGGACGUAUACGGUGUGACGCCUGCCCGGUGCCGGAAGGUUAAUUGAUGGGGUUAUCCGUAAGGAGAAGCUCUUGAUCGAAGCCCCGGUAAACGGCGGCCGUAACUAUAACGGUCCUAAGGUAGCGAAAUUCCUUGUCGGGUAAGUUCCGACCUGCACGAAUGGCGUAAUGAUGGCCAGGCUGUCUCCACCCGAGACUCAGUGAAAUUGAACUCGCUGUGAAGAUGCAGUGUACCCGCGGCAAGACGGAAAGACCCCGUGAACCUUUACUAUAGCUUGACACUGAACAUUGAGCCUUGAUGUGUAGGAUAGGUGGGAGGCUUUGAAGCGUGGACGCCAGUCUGCGUGGAGCCAACCUUGAAAUACCACCCUUUAAUGUUUGAUGUUCUAACGUUGGCCCCUUACCGGGGUUGCGGACAGUGUCUGGUGGGUAGUUUGACUGGGGCGGUCUCCUCCCAAAGCGUAACGGAGGAGCACGAAGGUUAGCUAAUCCUGGUCGGACAUCAGGAGGUUAGUGCAAUGGCAUAAGCUAGCUUGACUGCGAGCGUGACGGCGCGAGCAGGUGCGAAAGCAGGUCAUAGUGAUCCGGUGGUUCUGAAUGGAAGGGCCAUCGCUCAACGGAUAAAAGGUACUCCGGGGAUAACAGGCUGAUACCGCCCAAGAGUUCAUAUCGACGGCGGUGUUUGGCACCUCGAUGUCGGCUCAUCACAUCCUGGGGCUGAAGUAGGUCCCAAGGGUAUGGCUGUUCGCCAUUUAAAGUGGUACGCGAGCUGGGUUUAGAACGUCGUGAGACAGUUCGGUCCCUAUCUGCCGUGGGCGCUGGAGAAUUGAGGGGGGCUGCUUCUAGUACGAGAGGACCGGAGUGGACGCAUCACUGGUGUUCGGGUUGUCAUGCCAAUGGCACUGCCCGGUAGCUAAAUGCGGAAGAGAUAAGUGCUGAAAGCAUCUAAGCACGAAACUUGCCCCGAGAUGAGUUCUCCCUGAGACUUUAAGUCUCCUGAAGGAACGUUGAAGACGACGACGUUGAUAGGCCGGGUGUGUAAGCGCAGCGAUGCGUUGAGCUAACCGGUACUAAUGAACCGUGAGGCUUAACCUUACAACGCCGAAG